rnacentral:rRNA from 1 species
CCUACGGGGGGCUGCAGUAACGAAUAUUGGGCAAUGGGCGAAAGCCUGACCCAGCGACGCCGCGUGUAGGAUGAAGUCCUUCGGGAUGUAAACUACUGUCAGGGACUAGAAAGUUUCGAUUGAUCGGUCCCAGAGGAAGUCACGGCUAACUUCGUGCCAGCAGCCGCGGUAAUACGAAGGUGGCAAGCGUUGUUCGGAAUCACUGGGCUUAAAGGGCGCGUAGGCGGAUCAGAAAGUGUCUUGUGAAAUACCCCGGCUUAACCGGGGAAUGGCUCGGCAAACUACUGGUCUUGAGGCAAGUAGGGGUGUGUGGAACUCUUGGUGGAGCGGUGGAAUGCGUAGAUAUCAAGAGGAACGCCGAAGGUGAAGACAGCACACUGGACUUGCCCUGACGCUGAGGCGCGAAAGCGUGGGGAGCAAACAGGAUUAGAUACCCCUGUAGUC